UUCCGGUUGAUCCCGCCGGAGGCUACUGCUAUUGGGAUUCGACUAAGCCAUGCGAGUCGAGAGAGUUCGGCCCUCGGCUGACGGCUCAGUAACACGUGGAUAAUCUGCCCUUAGGUGGAGGAUAAUCUCGGGAAACUGAGAAUAAUACUCCAUAGGUCUAAGAUGCUGGAAUGCAUUUAGACUUAAAGCUCCGGCGCCUAAGGAUGAGUCUGCGGACUAUCAGGUUGUAGUCAGGGUAAAGACCUGACUAGCCUACGACGGAUACGGGUUGUGAGAGCAAUAACCCGGAGAUGAUAUCUGAGACACGAUAUCAGGCCCUACGGGGCGCAGCAGGCGCGAAAACUUCACAAUGCGCGAAAGCGCGAUGAGGGAAUCCCAAGUGCUUGCACGUAAGUGUAAGCUGUUUCUAUGUUUAAAAUGCAUAGAGAGUAAGGGCUGGGUAAGACGGGUGCCAGCCGCCGCGGUAAUACCUGCAGCUCAAGUGGUAGCCGCUAUUAUUGGGCCUAAAACGUUCGUAGCCGGUUUAAUAAAUGCCUGGGUAAAUCGUAUGGCUUAACCAUACGAAUUCCGGGUAGACUGUUAAACUUGAGACCGGGAGAAGCCGGAGGUACUCCUGGGGUAGAGGUGAAAUUCUGUAAUCCUAGGGGGACCACCAGUGGCGAAGGCGUCCGGCUAGAACGGGUCUGACGGUGAGGGACGAAGCCCUGGGGCGCAAACCGGAUUAGAUACCCGGGUAGUCCAGGGUGUAAACGCUGCUUGCUUGAUGUUAGUUGGGCUCCGAGCCCAAUUAGUGUCGGAGAGAAGUUGUUAAGCAAGCUGCCUGGGAAGUACGGUCGCAAGACUGAACUUAAAGGAAUUGGGCGGGGGAGCACAGCAACGGGUGGAGCGUGCGGUUUAAUUGGAUUCACGCCGGGA
rnacentral:rRNA from 1 species